rnacentral:rRNA from 1 species
UACGGGGGGGGCAAGCGUUGUUCGGAAUUACUGGGCGUAAAGGGCUCGUAGGCGGCCAACUAAGUCGGACGUGAAAUCCCUCGGCUCAACCGGGGAACUGCGUCCGAUACUGGAUGGCUUGAAUUCGGGAGAGGGAUGCGGAAUUCCAGGUGUAGCGGUGAAAUGCGUAGAUAUCUGGAGGAACACCGGUGGCGAAGGCGGCAUCCUGGACCGAUAUUGACGCUGAGGAGCGAAAGCCAGGGGAGCAAACGGG